rnacentral:rRNA from 1 species
ACCGGAUGCGGAUCUCGAAAGCCUGUCCCAGUUCGGACUGGAGUCUGCAACCCGAACUCCACGAAGUUGGAUUCGCUAGUAAUCGCGCAUCAGCCAUGGCGCGGUGAAUACGUUCCCGGGCCUUGUACACACCGCCCGUCAAGCCAUGGGAGCCGGGGGCGCCUGAAGUCCGGGACCGCGAGGACCGGCCUAGGGCGAAACUGGUAACUGGGGCUAAGUCGUAACAAGGUAAC